AAGACCCAGGAGACGAAAGUGCCUGCGACCCAGGAAGUUCAUGAUGCGGCUCGCUUGACCCAUUCCGCAUCGGGGAGACGCUGGGCCGGGGUCUGGGAUGGGGUUCGCAUGAGCGACCGCCCCUUAGCGCUGGCGGCUCCUUUGUGGGGGUCGAGCCGGGAGCCUCGGUGGGGUGCGCGCCCCACCUGCCGGGCACCCACGGGACUGCAGUCAGGGGAGGGGCCGGCGCCUGAGGCCGCCAGGUGGCGCCGUGUCCCCUGAAAACGACUUUCCCGGGUCAGACGGGGAAACUGAGGCCCGCGGAGUUAUUGGCUCCUUCUGAAUGUUCUACGGUAGAAUUGCCAGAUAAAUACCGGAUUCGCGGUUAUAUUUUAAGCGUAUCCUAAGUUUUGCACAGGACCUACUUAUACUAAAAAGGUUUUCAUUGUUUAUCGGAAAUGGAAAUUAGCCCCUUUCCCUACCCCAGACCCCCAGGGUUUAUCCCCAUCAGGUGACCCUGGGGCCCAUCCCACCCGCUCUCUCGGGUGCGCUGGCAUAUGCCUGUUCCUGGCAGCUCAAAAGGCAAGACCCGUGGUAGUAAUGAAAUAAUAAACUGGAAAAGUCUCCACCUACCUUGGACCGUGUCCCUCCCUGCUUAGGAGCCUCCAUGGCUCCCAUCACCCUCAGGAAAGAUCCGGCUUAUCCCUGCAGCUGGCAAUCUUCCCACUGCACUCUCCUCUGGCCCCGCAGGCCUUCCAGCUGUUUCUCACCAGAUGUUUCCUGCCCCAGGGCCUUUACACCGUCUGUGCUCCCCAUCUGUUGUGCUCUUCCCCCACCUCCGAGCUGCGUUCACACUUCCCAGACUUGCCUGCUCCAGGAAGCCUUCCCGGACUCACCCCCACCAAGGUCAGGCUCCCAGUGACCCACGAGGGGGCACACACGUCUUUCUCAUGACCCUUUCUGCUGCUCUAACUCUGCAUCUCUCCAGGUAGUCUGGCCCUUCCGUCCAAGACCAGGCAGGGACUGUGUACAGGACGCCCCUCCUCACUGCCGUGGCCCGACCCCCAGCGCAGAGCCUGGCACACGGGAGGGGCUCCAAAAACGAGGUCCAGCUAACUGGGCCCCAAACGACUCCUCUUCCUAGACCUCCCUUUCAGCCCUUCAACUUUGUGUGUUUUCCUGAGAUCAUCGUGAAUCCUGACGCAGAACUUCGCCAGGCUUCCCCCGACAGUGACAUUUUGUAACACGGCACUACGGUAUCACAACCGGGAUUUUGACACUGAUGCGACCCGCCCACCUUCUUCGGAUUUCCCAGUUUUAUGGGACGGGAGUGUGCCAUCACGAGGGUCCCUCCUGCUGCCCGCCCGCCCACCUCGCUCACCGGCCCUACCGCCCUCACCCCCGCAACCACCGGUCUCUUCUGCAUCCCCAUAACGCUCUCUCCUCCAGGUGCUGUUAGAAGCACACGUCGUCGUGUAACCUUGGGGGUUGCCUGAUUUUCCCCGCGUGCUUCUGGGAGAUGCGUGUCUGCCCCGCGCCCACAACUGUCUGCUGCUGAGUUGUGUCCCAUGGUGUGGGUGGGCGAGUGUGCCCGCCCACACGCGUGUCGUGGACGCCCGAGUUACCGCGUGUCGGCUGCCGCAGGUGAGCUAAGUGUGCGGGUUUUCUGUCCCGGAGCUUUUAUUUCUCUGACAUGAAUACCCCAGAGCCCCCUUCGCCUUCUUUAAAAAAAAGCAAAACAAAAACCGUUUUUCCCGCAGAAACUGUGCCACUCCCUCUGCGCACACUUUCUCUCUUCACCCCCACAACACACUUGGUCAUUCAUCCCGCAAAUAUCUAAUCAGCCCGGCCACGCGCUGGGCGCUGGGGAUACGUGGGGGACCACGUGAGACAGGCAGCCAGCAGGUACAACACAGGGACAUCAGAACCGUGAUGGGGGCAGCGCUGGGCGCAGAGAGCUCCAGGAAGGCUUCCCGGAGGAGGAGGAGCCAGCUGAGCUGAGACUUGAUGGAUGAGUGAGGCACAGCUGGCACGACAGCCAGACCUGCAUGUGCAGAGGCCCAGAGGCCAGAGGGAUGGCAGCAGUUCAAGCAGCUGCAGAGAGAGGGGCCGUGCUGUUUCCAGAUAAGUUGGGAGCCCUGGAGCCCUCCCAGAGAUGGGCGGGGGUCCUGCGGGAGUGACUAAGCCUCAGCCGGCAGGGCUGUUGGGGGAAGGCUGAACUAAUCCUGCGCAGGCAGCCCCACCCAAGCGACAUCUGGGCGGGGCGAGGCUCUGACAGCUCGCAGCAAUCCGGUGCAAACGGCGGUGUGGGGCUUCUGAGCCCGGGCCUCCAGGCUCUUCCUGGAACCUGUGCCAAGGGAUCAGCCUGACUUUCCGGGAGCACCAUGCGGCGGGAGGAAGCCCAACAGCCACACGGCGGGGGGGGGGGGGGGGGGGGGGGGGGGGGAAGAGGACUGCUCCGCCACUAGGCCUGCCAGGAAGGCCUUCUGGGGCCUUCCAGGUCCGGCCGCUAGGUGCGCCCGUCCAGCCCAGCCGAGCCCGGUGACCCCACAGACCCGGGAGUGAGAAUCGGCCGCUCUUCUGCCUCCCUCCGCUGUGGGGCGCUUUCUCAAGGAGCCGUCCGUCCGCCCGCCCGUCCGUCCGUCCCGCGAGCGGCUCUGUGCACGUGCUCCAGGGAGCAUCUGUGCACUCCGUGACACCCGCCCUUUCCCCAGCCGGGACGCUGGACACUCACCGGGUAGCAGUAACACUACUUUAUUUCGGCACUUUAAAAAUCGCACGCCGUUCACAUGUCCGUAUUUCUGAAAAUGGGACGAAGCUUAUAACGUUACGAUUGCAAGGCAGUGUGCGAAAGACGUCCGUCGGUGUUUUGGGGGAACGUUCCAGAGAAUGCCAGUAUCAAAGUGUCUUCAAUUUCAGGAAAUUACCGAAGCCCAGGCUCCACCCCCUCCUCGGCUCCGCCCCUGGACUCCGCGGCCCCUUCCCCAGCCCGCGCACCUGCUGCAUAUAGUUGACGAACUUGCACAUGAAGUCGCCCAGCACCCAGGCGGGCAGCGGGUAGAGCAGGGCCGUGAAGGGCACGCAGCACAACAGGAAGGUCACGUCCGUGGCCGCCAAGUUGGCUGCAGGAGGGAACACGCGGGGGCCUCAGCCACCCCACAGCCCGGCCCAGCCCCCACCCUUUCCUUGCCUUUCUCCCAGUAACCCGAGUAACCCGCAAGACCGCCUGGAAGAUCCCCCGGCGUCCUUCGGCGGAGAAAUUGGGGCGCCCUCCAGUCCCCCAUUUGUACACGUCAAACAUCCCCUCAGUACGGGUUUCGUGGCCAUUCGAGCGACAGUCAUUGCGCCCUGCGCGCCCCCGUCCGGGCUGGAGAGCCGGAGCGCGUUCCCGUCGCGGCUGGGAGAGCCGGGGUUGCGCCCCCGUCGAGGCUGGGAGAGCCGGGGAGCGCCCCCGUGGAGGCUGGGAGAGCCGGGGUGCGCCCCCGUGGAGGCUGGGAGAGCCGGGGUUGCGCCCCCGUGGAGGCUGGGAGAGCCGGGGAGCGCCCCCGUGGAGGCUGGGAGAGCCGGGGUGCGCCCCCGUCGAGGCUGGGAGAGCCGGGGUUGCGCCCCCGUGGAGGCUGGGAGAGCCGGGGUUGCGCCCCCGUGGAGGCUGGCAGAGCCGGGGUUGCGCCCCCGUCGAGGCUGGGAGAGCCUGGGCGCGCCCCCGUCGAGGCUGGGAGAGCCGGAGUUGCGCCCCCGUGGAGGCUGGCAGAGCCGGGUUGCGCCUCCGUCGCGGCUGGGAGAGCCGGGGCGCGCCCCCGUCCGAGCUGGGAGAGCCGGGGCGCGCCCCCGUCGCGGCUGGGAGAGCUGGUGUUGUCCCCGUCCGGGUCGGGAGAGCCGGGGUUGCGCCCCCGUGGAGGCUGGCAGAGGCGGGGUUGCGCCCCCGUAGAGGCUGGGAGAGCUGGGGUUGCGCCCCCGUGGAGGCUGGGAGAGCCGGGGCGCACCCCUGUCCGGGCUGGGAGAGCUAGGGUUGCGUCCCCGUCCGAGCUGGGAGAGCCGGGGCGCGCCCCCGUCGGGGCUGGGAGAGCCGCGCACGCCCCCGUCCCCUCUGAACCUGCCUCCCGGUCUGCAAGCUGGAGACAGUGGCGCUGCCCAGCAGCCACCACAGAAUAGAGGAAAACGAGCACUCUCACCUGAGCCAAGUCGGUCGGCCCAUCAUACAAAUGUGUGAACCGAGCCUUUCGUUGGCGCAAGGGUCGCAAACCGGGCUCCCGCGGGCCUAGCAGCCCCUCUCCCUACUUUCAUUCAUAGGACACGGUGUCACAAGAACCACGUUUUAACCAGACACCUUCCUCAGGGCCAGGCCAAGCUCUCCACAGGCCACUGUCCAGACUCCAGCGUUCUCGAGCUCUAGCCCAAGAGUCAGGGACAGUAGGGACGGGACCUGCUCCCUGCACGGGGCGGGGGGCGGGGGUGCCGUCUGGGAGAGCACAGCGCGCUAGGAGGCCCCCUGGGCCUCUCUCUGGGGACCCCCGGAGUGGUCGGCAGGUGCCCGGGCGCUCACCUAUGUAAAAGUUGGUCACCGUCCGCAUCUGCUUGUGGCGGCAGAUGACGAAAAUGACGAGCAAGUUCCCUGCCAGCCCGAGCAGCAUCAGCGCCACGAAGGAAACCGGCACAAGCCAGGCGUCCACCGGCCGCGGCACAGGGGCCC